GACAGAGGGUGCAACCGUUGUUCGGAUUUACUGGGCGUAAAGCGCGUGUAGGCGGCUUUGCAAGUCGGAUGUGAAAGCCCACGGCUCAACCGUGGAAGUGCAUCCGAAACUGCAUGGCUUGAGUCUCGGAGAGGAAGGUGGAAUGCUUGGUGUAGAGGUGAAAUUCGUAGAUAUCAAGCAGAACACCUGCGGCGAAGGCGGCCUUCUGGACGGUGACUGACGCUGAGACGCGAAAGCGUGGGGAGCAAACAGG
rnacentral:rRNA from 1 species